rnacentral:rRNA from 1 species
UACAGAGGGUGCGAGCGUUGUUCGGAAUUGCUGGGCGUAAAGCGCGCGCAGGCGGCUUCUUAAGUCCGUCGGUCAAAUGCCGGGGCUCAACCCCGAGCGUGCCGAGGAUACUGGGAGGCUGGAGACAUGUAGAGGCAAGCGGAAUUCCGGGUGUAGCGGUGGAAUGCGUAGAGAUCCGGAAGAACACCGGAGGCGAAGGCGGCCAGCUGGGCGUGGUCUGACGCUGAGGCGCGAAGGCGUGGGGAGCGAACAGG